GAAGUGGGCUAGGCCGUCGCUGGUGCAAUCGUGGUAACACGGCACUGGAGGAACGUCCGGACUGCAUAGGACAGCGUAGCAGGUAACACCUGUCCACCGUGAGGUGAGGAUCAGAGCAACAGAGACGAGUCUGGCGGGAGUGUCGAAAGAUAGACCAGCCGGGGUGAAACGGGCAAUCUCUACGCGCAGCAAUACCAAAUAGGCAUGUGUUGAACUGGCUCCGGCGAGCAUGCGGGUAGGUAGCACCGAGCUGAGUGGGUGACCCUCAGCCCAGAUUAAUGGCGGUCACAUGGUUGCUUGCAACCGUGCACAGAAUCCGGCGUAUCGGUUCACUUCACAA
rnacentral:RNase_P_RNA from 1 species